GAUGAACGCUGGCGGCGUGCCUAAUACAUGCAAGUCGAGCGAACAGACGAGGAGCUUGCUCCUCUGACGUUAGCGGCGGACGGGUGAGUAACACGUCGAUAACCUACCUAUAAGACUGGGAUAACUUCGGGAAACCGGAGCUAAUACCGGAUAAUAUAUUGAACCGCAUGGUUCAAUAGUGAAAGACGGUUUUGCUGUCACUUAUAGAUGGAUCCGCGCCGCAUUAGCUAGUUGGUAAGGUAACGGCUUACCAAGGCGACGAUGCGUAGCCGACCUGAGAGGGUGAUCGGCCACACUGGAACUGAGACACGGUCCAGACUCCUACGGGAGGCAGCAGUAGGGAAUCUUCCGCAAUGGGCGAAAGCCUGACGGAGCAACGCCGCGUGAGUGAUGAAGGUCUUCGGAUCGUAAAACUCUGUUAUUAGGGAAGAACAAAUGUGUAAGUAACUAUGCACGUCUUGACGGUACCUAAUCAGAAAGCCACGGCUAACUUCGUG
rnacentral:rRNA from 1 species